UAUGAACUUCAGGGCAGGGUGAAAUUCCCGACCGGCGGUAAUAGUCCGCGAAGCCUUUGGCUUGAUCUGGUGAAACUCCAGAACCGACAGUAUAGUCUGGAUGGAAGAAGUGUUUU
rnacentral:ncRNA from 1 species